AGGUGCACUGCUAUUUACCUCAGCUUUCUAGAAAAUGUCUACUGAAAUUCCUUGUGAGGAUGAAAAUCUCAGUUUUCAAAGGAAAUGUGAAAGUAGUUAGGAUUAGCACAGGCAUUUUUUUGAAGACUGUGUAGCAAAAACACUCCAGCCUCAAAUUUCAUGGCAAUAAAUGAAGAUGUUUCAGUAAAACAAAAAGCAGGUGUCAUCUCUUUCACCUCAUAGCAGUGUAUAAAGCAGGACUGAAAAAGAGUAAAGGAAGAUGGCCAACAGUGUGGAGCAGUUUCCCAAUGCAGCACAUCUUCAUCUUCAAGUUGGAAGAAAGAAAACCUACGGAAAGUGUGUUGUAGACUGAAAAAAGUAUGCUAUAAUGCAGCAUGGAAGGGAAGAACAGGAGUGACUAGGCUGCCUCACUCCGAGUAGGAGCCGCAUGGAGCAGGUGUCACAGUUGGGAUAAGCCCAGGGGUAACACUGCCCCAUGGGCAUUGCAGCUCUGCUCCAUAGCAGCGCACUGUGCAGAUGCUGGGACUUCAUCAGGGGUCAGGACAAAACUGAGCAUGAAAGGCUGGCUUUAAAAGUCUUUGACACAGAAACAGUUGAUAGCUUGGACAGUUUUCUAGGGGAACGUGUUUGUUUCCUAUGACUUUUCUUGUGCUAUUUCUUUGACAUUUCUUUUAAACCUGUGUCAGAUGCAGAUACAGGCUAGAUAGAUGGACUUGUGUUUUGACACUAUGCAUCCAUUCCUAGCUGCAAGUGCUUAUUUGCAAACAGUA